UGACCGUAUCUACCAGAAAGAGAGAAGCUCGGGUCCGUACUCACCCGAUCAAUCACAUUCCAGGUUUCGCCUCCCAUGUUUUGGAAAUUUACCAUUUGCCCCUCGCUUUGCCUUCCGUUUAUUGGGUUUGCUGCUCUAGUUACCGUCGUUCUCCUUGUCAAGCGGCUCUGUGUUGCUGCAGUGGUAUGGCAGUGAUCUCUUCUCGGUCAUCGUGAUAAUAAACUUCGCACUGCCGUCCUCCCUCGAUUUCUACUUUGGUUGCGAGGCUCGCUGAGGAAGUUGGUGAGUUCAUGGAGAAGAAACACGGGUUCUUCUCGGCGCUUGAGGAGGUGGUGCGGGGGCUAUCGCCGGUGAGAUUGAGAACUAAGAGCCCCGCGGCGAAGAGGAAUUCCUCUUCUGGAGCGCUUCCGAUCCUCCCGCGGUGGCGGAAGGAGCAGAGCGAGGAGAGGCAGCCUCAGCAGGCGCUGGCGGAGGCGCAGAUGAUAGCGAGAUCCUCGAGCUUCCGGCCCGUAGGGGAGGCACUGUCGCCGCUUAUGGAGGGCCCCGACGGCGACUCGCCGAAAGAGGUUGGGGAUCAACAGAGAGAAGGGUGGGGCCGCUGGGUUCGUGGCCAGUUCUCGCGGACGCCGUCCGUCACAUCUUCUUCUGCUGCCGCCGCCGGUUGCUCGUUUCGCACUUCUGACCUUCGGCUUUUGCUCGGGGUCAUGGGGGCGCCUCUCGCUCCCGUUCAUGUCAGCACCGUCGAUCCUCUCCCGCAUCUCAGUAUCAAAGGCACUUCCAUUGAAACCUCAUCGGCCCAGUACAUACUGCAGCAGUAUACAGCCGCAUCGGGUGGUCUCAAGCUACAGAGGUCCAUCCGCAACGCCUACGCCAUGGGAAAAGUGAGGAUGAUGGCGUCAGAGUUCGAGACUCCAACCAAGGUUGUGAAGAACCGCGGUGGCGCAACCGCCGCCGAGUCGGGCAGUUUUGUCCUCUGGCAGAUGGCCCCGGACAUGUGGUACGUCGAGCUCGCCGUCGGCGGAAGCAAGGUCCACGCGGGCUCUAACGGAAAGAUUGUCUGGCGGCACACUCCCUGGCUCGGUGCGCACGCUGCAAAGGGCCCCGUCCGCCCUCUUCGCCGCGCCCUCCAGGGCCUUGAUCCGUUGACUACGGCAAGCAUGUUUGCAAGUGCUCGUUGCAUCGGGGAGAAAAAGAUCAACGGGGACGAUUGCUUCGUACUCAAGCUCUCCGCUGAUCCACAGACGCUGAAGGCCCGUAGCGAAGGCCCCGCCGAGAUCAUCCGGCACGUCCUCUUCGGCUACUUCAGUCAGCGAACAGGGCUCCUGAUCCACUUGGAGGAUUCCCAUCUUACUCGCAUCCAAUCCAACACCGGCGGUGACGCUGUGUACUGGGAAACCACAAUCAACUCCUUCUUCGACGACUACCGCGCCAUCGACGGUGUAAUGAUCGCCCAUUCAGGGCGUUCCGUGGUGACUCUGUUCAGGUUCGGCGAGGAGGCGAUGAGCCACACCAAGACGAGGAUGGAAGAGGUCUGGACGAUCGAAGAGGUGUCGUUCAACGUGCCCGGUCUCUCCGUCGAUUGUUUCAUCCCCCCAGCUGAGAUCAGGCGCCACUCCGUCAGCGGCGCUUGCGAGCUGCCUCAAACAGAACGAAACAGGAGCUGCAUCGUCGGCCGGUCAAAGGUCGCCGCCAUGCCCGUUGAGAAGCUGCAGGAUCCAAGCGACAACAAAAUCGUCUGGAGAAUCGAAGUGCCGCAGCGCCAUGUUGUCAAACAAGGAUCUGAUCGAUUUGUUCAUAGUGCUGAUUUCUACGCUAAAUAAUUGACCGUGAGAACUGCAUUACUGCUGUGCAAGAUAAGACCUGAGCUGUACAUUUUGUUGCCUUCUCUGCGAAUCUUUUUCGGAAGCUUGGUGAUCCACAAAGUAAUUACACACAGCUCGUGCUAAGAUGGCAGUGAGGCAGGAGCUUCCUUGGACCAAAGGAAGCCACAAGACACAAAAUGGCCUCUGGGUCUGAGGGCCACCAUGUGCUUCUCAUCUCAUUCAAUACCCCCAAACUCUGAAGCACGCCAUUAAUUUUUCUGACUAAAUACUCAGAAGCUUCUUUAUGCGGAUGCUCUUCUCCAUGUCAAAAUGCAUGAUGGGCACUUACACUUUCCUAAACCUGUGGAAAUAUUUACUACUGUAAAGAUCAACAAUUAUCCUGAUGGACAACUUCAAAGGCAAAACACUUAGCGCGUUGGGACUAAAUUCAAGCGACCCCAUAGCUCAUAGCUCAAGGUGCCUCUGCACAAUUUAUCCGACAAAAUUGUAGGUGACAUCCAACGUGGAGCAUGUAGGUGACAUCCAACGUGGAUGCUCUGACGUGAUUCUUACUAUUUUUUUUUUUAUUUUUCUCUUUUAUCUGUAUAUAAUUUUCUUUUGUCUUGUGUAUGCAAGUCUAUCUCAUGCAUGCAAGAUGAUGUUGUUCUUAAAGAUCAACACCAAUACUAUUUUGAAAU